rnacentral:rRNA from 1 species
AUGCUCUACGGAGGAAAGUGGGGGACUUCGCAAGGGGCCUCACGCUAUGGGAGCGGCCGAUGUCCGAUUAGCUAGUUGGUGGGGUAGAGGCCUACCAAGGCGACGAUCGGUAGCUGGUCUGAGAGGAUGAUCAGCCACACUGGGACUGAGACACGGCCCAGACUCCUACGGGAGGCAGCAGUGGGGAAUUUUGGACAAUGGGGGAAACCCUGAUCCAGCCAUGCCGCGUGCGGGAAGAAGGCCUUCGGGUUGUAAACCGCUUUUAGUCGGGAAGAAAGGGUUCUCCUGAAUAUGGAGGAUUUUUGACGGUACCGGCGGAAUAAGCACCGGCUAACUACGUGCCGGCAGCCGCGGUAAUACGUAGGGUGCGAGCGUUAAUCGGAAUUACUGGGCGUAAAGAGUGCGUAGGCGGUUCUCCAAGUCCGUUGUGAAAGCCCCGGGCUCAACCUGGGAAUGGCAGUGGAAACUAGGGGACUUGAAUCUGGCAGAGGGGGGUGGAAUGCCGCGUGUAGCAGUGAAAUGCGUAGAGAUGCGGCGGAACACCGAUGGCAAAGCAGCCCCCUGGCUGAGAUUGACGCUC